rnacentral:rRNA from 1 species
AUGAACAUUGCGCUCCUCUCCCGCUGGCUCUGGCGCAUUGCCCAGGGUCAUGGCGGCCUCUGGCUGGACAUUAUCCGGAACAAAUACCUUCGGGGUCAACCCCUUGCCUUCUGCCAGAGAUCGGGCGGCUCCCAGUUCUGGCAGUCCAUUGUUCAGCUCCUCCCGGUACUCCGCAUUGGGACCUCCAUCUCGGUUGGCUCCGGCCUCUCGACUCUCUUCUGGUAUGAUCGUUGGGCCGGUGACUCCCCCUUCGCGGCCCGCUUCCCCUCCCUCUUUUCUAUCUCCGUUGACCCCAUGAUUUCGGUCAAUAGGGCCCUUCUUGAUCUGGGGCGUCUGGCCUUUCGUCGACCGUUCGGGCCGGCGGAAUCCGCCGCCUGGCGUGAGUUACUUGACUGCGUCGCGCUGCAUGAGCCACUGGUGGAUGACAGACCAGACCGCACCCGCUGGCGGCUAGAGCCGGCGGGCCUGUUCACCACCAAGUCGCUCUACUCGGCCAUCGCCCCCUCCUCCGCUCCUCUUCCCUUAUCUAUGGUCUGGUCCGUUCGUGUGCCACUGAAGAUUCGCAUUUUCAUGUGGCAAUGGAUCCGUGGUAGGCUCCCUUCUGGCGUGGAGGUCCGCAAGCGCAAUGACCCGGGCACUGGUAUCUGCCCGCUCUAUGGCGUCCCGGAGGACUCGAACCACAUCUUCUUCUCUUGCGUCUCCACCCAAUUCCUCUGGAGCUGCUUUCGCGAAGUCGUCGGCGGGACUUGGUGCCACACCAAUUUCCCGGACCUAUUUGAUGAACUCCAACUGUCCCCCGCGUCCACGCGCCACAUUAGGUGGCUUCAAGUUGGGGUGCUGGCCUGGACGCUGUGGACCGUUCGCAAUAAACUUGUGAUCCAGCACGCUCCCCUCCGUCGCUCUACUGACGCCCUCUACAAAUUCUCGGGUUUCUUGCAGCUUUGGCGGCCGCUUAGUCGCCCCCCGGACCGUGACGCCAUCUCCGCCUUCAUCGCCGACAUCCGAUCGAUGGCCGUCCGCCUCUCUCCGCCGCCUCCGCCGGAGCCUGAUUAG